AGACAGUUCCAGCCAGGCUUCAGCUGACGGACAGAUGGACUCACAUCUGACUCUAGAAGACUUUGGUAUCCAGAAGAGUUCAUGGUCCAUCAGUGACUGCAGGAGUCCAGGUCCUAUGGGUGGAAAGCCAGCUGACCAAACAUGUCCAGUGUGGUCUGGUCUGUCCAGAGGACCUUGUUC